UGCUUUUUGCUUAUACAUUUCCCUAAACAGUUUACUCCUUUUUUCAGGAAUGUUCAGCCCAUUGAUAUUCAAGGAUAUUACAUUGACUUCAGCCAUUGUUAAUCAGGUGUGGAUACGUCAGUCCAGCUUUCUUUAUCGGGCAGUUCCGGGAUAGCAGGAGCCAAUAACUUACAGAUUCGCUGUCGGACUCAUCAGCGGGACUUCUAGCAUGCCGUGGCGCCAUCUUGGAUCCCUGACGACACUGUUCAGAGUCUGUCGAUGUGAAGAACUGUUUCAAUAAGCGCUGUGAGUCUUUCGCUUUAACGCUCCUGCAUUCCUCACCAUCAUAUUCUUUAGUUUUACCAUGUUUGCCCAUGAUUCCAAUCCACAGCAGGCGUGACACCGGGUUUGUGUAGCGGAGCUCCGGUCUUAUGCGACUGCCAUGCUCGGCGGUUAACCACGCCCCCCUAUUAUGGGUUUCUGUGGGCCUCUUUAUCAUAUUUUGGUUUGGAAGGCCUAAAAAGGUACAAGGGAUAUACUUCUGUCUCCUCUGGUAAAGAACUUCUUAAGGCAAGGUUCUCCUCAUGCAUCUUGGGUAAAAGCUACUCCGCAUGGGAAGACGUGUUCUGGAACCUUGCACCUUAAUCAACAAAUAGUGUACAGAGUGCAGUAUAUUGGACACUUGUCUUUCCCAUGGUGUUCUGUUUACACAAGAACCUUAUCAACCAACAAAAAAUGUUUAAUUGUUUGGAAAACUAUGCAUCCAAACAAUGUAGGUCUCUAUAAAACUAUAUUGCA